rnacentral:rRNA from 1 species
UUGGAGGGCAAGUCUGGUGCCAGCAGCCGCGGUAAUUCCAGCUCCAAUAGCGUAUAUUAAAGUUGUUGCAGUUAAAAAGCUCGUAGUUGAAUUUCGGGAUCAAUAUAUUGGUCGUGCCUCUGGUAUGCACUGGUAUUAUUGAUUUCUACCUUCUGACGAACUGUGAUGUCAUUAAUUUGGUGUCAUGGGGAAUCAGGACUGUUACUUUGAAAAAAUUAGAGUGUUUAAAGCAGGCACACGCUUGAAUACAUUAGCAUGGAAUAAUGAAAUAGGACGUUUGACCCUAUUUUGUUGGUUUCUAGGAUCGACGUAAUGAUUAAUAGGGAUAGUUGGGGGCAUUAGUAUUCAAUUGCCAGAGGUGAAAUUCUUGGAUUUAUUGAAGACUAACUACUGCGAAAGCAUUUGCCAAGGAUGUUUUCAUUAAUCAAGAACGAAAGUUAGGGGAUCGAAGACGAUCAGAUACCGUCGUAGUCUUAACCAUAAACUAUGCCGACUAGGGAUCGGAUGAUGUUAAUUUUUUAAUGACUCAUUCGGCGCCUUACGGGAAAC